UGGGGGGUGGUGUAGCUGGCAACACACCAGGUUUUGGUCCUGGGAUCCGGGGUUCGAGUCCCUGCCCCCCAGCCU
rnacentral:tRNA from 1 species